rnacentral:lncRNA from 1 species
GCCAGUUAGUCCCUAGCCCAGACCAAGUGAAUUCCCAGGGACUAUCUCUACCAAUGGCUAAAGGAACCAUCCAGAAGUACAUUAUGACAAAGAGAAAAUUUUUCUGCUUUUCAUCCUCAAAGUGAAAUAAGAGAAACUAGCAGAAGACAACUCUUGCAAGGAGCUUCAGGAGUCCUUUGCAGCAACUUUGCCCAAAGUCCAAGGUGUACCCAGAGCUGUGAGCUGAUGAUGCCCAUUCCCUGUAAGACACACUCCUGGGAUUACUCAUGUCUCUUUCAAAAUGAAGCAAAGAUCAUGUGCCACCUGACAACCACCCAUCUGGCCUGAGAAGAGUCGGCAUAUGGAUGGUUCUCGCUAAUUAUAGUUAAAUACUGAAGGAAGAGGUUCCAAACUACAAUCUUCUAUAUCAAAAGUCCCCUGGUUUCCUCCUUUCUGGGAGCUAAGGCAAGACAUCAUGGCUACUCAGCUCAGACUUAUCCAGGUGCAUUCAGGUAUGUCAUUUCACAUUUAUAGAACCAACUUUACCCAA